rnacentral:rRNA from 1 species
AUUGAACGCUGGCGGUAGGCCUAACACAUGCAAGUCGAACGCGAAAAGUCCUUCGGGAUGAGUAGAGUGGCGGACGGGUGAGUAAUGCAUCGGAACGUACCCAGUCGUGGGGGAUAACGUAGCGAAAGUUACGCUAAUACCGCAUACGUCCUGAGGGAGAAAGCGGGGGACCGUAAGGCCUCGCGCGAUUGGAGCGGCCGAUGUCGGAUUAGCUAGUUGGUAGGGUAAAAGGCCUACCAAGGCGACGAUCCGUAGCGGGUCUGAGAGGAUGAUCCGCCACACUGGGACUGAGACACGGCCCAGACUCCUACGGGAGGCAGCAGUGGGGAAUUUGGACAAUGGGCGAAAGCCUGAUCCAGCCAUGCCGCGUGAGUGAAGAAGGCCUCGG